rnacentral:rRNA from 1 species
ACAAGCGGUGGAGUAUGUGGUUAAUUCGAUGAUACGCGAGGAACCUUACCUGGGCUCAAAUGUAUGUUGACGUAUUCUGAAAGGGAUACUUCUUCGGACAAUAUACAAGGUGCUGCAUGGUUGUCGUCAGCUCGUGCCGUGAGGUGUCGGGUUAAGUCCCAUAACGAGCGCAACCCCUAUCAUUAGUUGCCAUCAGGUCAAGCUGGGGACUCUAAUGAAACUGCCUACGCAAGUAGUGAGGAAGGUGGGGAUGACGUCAAAUCAGCACGGCCCUUACGUCCAGGGCUACACACGUGCUACAAUGGCCGGUACAAAGGGCAGCUACCUGGUGACAGGAUGCUAAUCUCAAAAGCCGGUCUCAGUUCGGAUCGGAGUCUGCAACCCGACUCCGUGAAGCUGGAAUCGCUAGUAAUCGUGAAUCAGAAUGUCACGGUGAAUACGUUCCCGGGCCUU